rnacentral:rRNA from 1 species
GACGAACGCUGGCGGCAUGCUUAACACAUGCAAGUCGAACGGAAAGGCCCCAGCUUGCUUGGGUACUCGAGUGGCGAACGGGUGAGUAACACGUGGGUGAUCUGCCCUGCACUCUGGGAUAAGCCUGUGAAACUGGGUCUAAUACCGGAUAUGACCGUGCUUUAGUGUGUGCGGGGUAAAGUUUUUCGGUUCAGGAUGAGCCCUCGGCCUAUCAGCUUGUUGUUGGGGUAAUGGCCUACCAGGGCGGCGACGGGUAGCCGGCCUGAGAGGGUGUACGGCGCCAUUGGUACUGAGACACGGACCAGACGGAUACGGGAGGCAGCAGUGGGGAAUAUUGCACAAUGGGCGCAAGCCUGAUGAAGAGACGCCGCGUGGGGGAUGACGGCCUUUGCGUUGUAAACUCCUUUCGGCAGGGACGAAGCUUUUGUGACGGUACCUGAAUAAGAAGCACCGGCUAACUACGUG